rnacentral:rRNA from 1 species
CGCUAGCUACAGGCUUAACACAUGCAAGUCGAGGGGCAGCAUGGUCUUAGCUUGCUAAGGCCGAUGGCGACCGGCGCACGGGUGAGUAACACGUAUCCAACCUGCCGUCUACUCUUGGACAGCCUUCUGAAAGGAAGAUUAAUACAAGAUGGCAUCAUGAGUCCGCAUGUUCACAUGAUUAAAGGUAUUCCGGUAGACGAUGGGGAUGCGUUCCAUUAGAUAGUAGGCGGGGUAACGGCCCACCUAGUCUUCGAUGGAUAGGGGUUCUGAGAGGAAGGUCCCCCACAUUGGAACUGAGACACGGUCCAAACUCCUACGGGAGGCAGCAGUGAGGAAUAUUGGUCAAUGGGCGAGAGCCUGAACCAGCCAAGUAGCGUGAAGGAUGACUGCCCUAUGGGUUGUAAACUUCUUUUAUAAAGGAAUAAAGUCGGGUAUGGAUACCCGUUUGCAUGUACUUUAUGAAUAAGGAUCGGCUAACUCCGUGCCAGCAGCCGCGGUAAUACGGAGGAUCCGAGCGUUAUCCGGAUUUAUUGGGUUUAAAGGGAGCGUAGAUGGAUGUUUAAGUCAGUUGUGAAAGUUUGCGGCUCAACCGUAAAAUUGCAGUUGAUACUGGAUAUCUUGAGUGCAGUUGAGGCAGGCGGAAUUCGUGGUGUAGCGGUGAAAUGCUUAGAUAUCACGAAGAACUCCGAUUGCGAAGGCAGCCUGCUAAGCUGCAACUGACAUUGAGGCUCGAAAGUGUGGGUAUCAAACAGGAUUAGAUACCCUGGUAGUCCACACGGUAAACGAUGAAUACUCGCUGUUUGCGAUAUACGGCAAGCGGCCAAGCGAAAGCGUUAAGUAUUCCACCUGGGGAGUACGCCGGCAACGGUGAAACUCAAAGGAAUUGACGGGGGCCCGCACAAGCGGAGGAACAUGUGGUUUAAUUCGAUGAUACGCGAGGAACCUUACCCGGGCUUAAAUUGCAGAUGAAUUACGGUGAAAGCCGUAAGCCGCAAGGCAUCUGUGAAGGUGCUGCAUGGUUGUCGUCAGCUCGUGCCGUGAGGUGUCGGCUUAAGUGCCAUAACGAGCGCAACCCUUGUUGUCAGUUACUAACAGGUUCUGCUGAGGACUCUGACAAGACUGCCAUCGUAAGAUGUGAGGAAGGUGGGGAUGACGUCAAAUCAGCACGGCCCUUACGUCCGGGGCUACACACGUGUUACAAUGGGGGGUACAGAGGGCCGCUACCACGCGAGUGGAUGCCAAUCCCAAAAACCUCUCUCAGUUCGGACUGGAGUCUGCAACCCGACUCCACGAAGCUGGAUUCGCUAGUAAUCGCGCAUCAGCCACGGCGCGGUGAAUACGUUCCCGGGCCUUGUACACACCGCCCGUCAAGCCAUGGGAGCCGGGGGUACCUAAAGUGCGUAACCGCGAGGAGCGCCCUAGGGUAAAACUC